GAUGAACGCUAGCGGCAGGCUUAAUACAUGCAAGUCGAGGGGCAUCGCAGUGUAGCAAUACAUGGGCGGCGACCGGCAAACGGGUGCGGAACACGUACACAACCUUCCUACAAGUGGGGGAUAGCCCAGAGAAAUUUGGAUUAAUACCCCGUAACAUAACGAUGUGGCAUCACAUUGUUAUUAUAGCUACGGCGCUUGUUGAUGGGUUGGCGGCUGAUUAGGUAGUGGGCGGGGUAACGGCCCCCCAAGCCUUCGAUCAGUAGCUGAUGUGAGAGCAUGAUCAGCCACACGGGCACUGAGACACGGGCCCGACUCCUACGGGAGGCAGCAGUAAGGAAUAUUGGUCAAUGGACGCAAGUCUGAACCAGCCAUGCCGCGUGAAGGAUUAAGGUCCUCUGGAUUGUAAACUUCUUUUAUAUGGGACGAAAAAAGGGUAUUCUUACCCGUCUGACGGUACCAUAUGAAUAAGCACCGGCUAACUCCGUGCCAGCAGCCGCCGUAAGAC
rnacentral:rRNA from 1 species